rnacentral:rRNA from 1 species
GGGCCCGCACAAGCGGUGGAGUAUGUGGUUUAAUUCGAUGCAACGCGAAGAACCUUACCAGGGUUUGACAUCCUGCGAAUCUCUUGGAAACGAGAGAGUGCCUUCGGGAGCGCAGUGACAGGUGGUGCAUGGCUGUCGUCAGCUCGUGUCGUGAGAUGUUGGGUUAAGUCCGGCAACGAGCGCAACCCACAUCCCUAGUUGCCAGCAGUUCGGCUGGGCACUCUAUGGAAACUGCCCGUGAUAAGCGGGAGGAAGGUGUGGAUGACGUCAAGUCCUCAUGGCCCUUACGGGUUGGGCUACACACGUGCUACAAUGGUGGUGACAAUGGGUUAAUCCCAAAAAGCCAUCUCAGUUCGGAUUGGGGUCUGCAACUCGACCCCAUGAAGUCGGAAUCGCUAGUAAUCGC